CCUCUUUGAUGUGCCCUAAGUGGGGUCCGCCGUAGGCCCCUGGUGAGGGUGUUGCCCUGCGGGUGCUGGGCCUCUCUGGGCAGGGCCCCUGCCUCUCUCUGCUGAGCGAUCAGGUGAUGCUGACGAACAGGAUGUGGGCAGCCACCCUGAGCAGACGUGCACUCUUCAGUUCACCUCCAACUCCAGCCCACAUCAGGUCAUGAGGCAGGACAGCUCAUUCUCUUGUUGGAUCUGAAAAGUAAUCGAAUCAUGACAGUCACAGUUUCUGCCCACACUCCAGAGGAAGGGAUCACACGGGCAUGCAUCCCAAGGAGUAGGACGCUGGGACCACCACAGAAUCCUGCCUCCACAUCCUCGUGGCCUGAGAUUUUAUUGAGUCAUGAGAGGCACAGAAAGAGAGGCAGAGACACAGGCAGAGGGA